rnacentral:tRNA from 1 species
GGCAUGAUGGCUGACAGUUAAGCGGUGGUUUGUAGCUCCAUAAACAGAGGUUUAAGUCCUCUUCAUGUCA